UACGUAGGGUGCAAGCGUUAAUCGGAAUUACUAGGGCGUAAACGUGCGCAGGCGGUUAUGUAAGACAGAUGUGAAAUCCCCGGGCUUAACCUGGGAACUGCAUUGGUGACUGCAUUGCGUGGAGUAUGGCAGAGGGGGGUGGAAUUCCACGUGUAGCAGUGAAAUGCGUAGAGAAUGUGGAGGAACACCGAUGGCGAAGGCAGCCCCUGGGCCAAUACUGACGCUCAUGCACGAAAGCGUGGGGAGCAAACAGG
rnacentral:rRNA from 1 species